CCGCGUUGUGGAGGUUAUGAAGCUACCCAAAGUGUUGGAUAGGCUACGCAGUAUCUACCGCCUCACCGCUCGCAAACACAAGAUGGACGCUGAAAGAACUGUUACGAAACAGAAAAUGAACGCAUCAAUCAACGGGAGCUUUUUCUUUCAAACGACGCCUCGUAAAUCCCGCCCUGUGCCAAAAUUUGCACCGGAUUGGGUUCUCAGAAGGGACAAGUUCAAAGAUAUUGUGGAUCCUCUCCGGGCCAUUCAGAUGGUGGCAAACACACUCUCUAUUGUGUUGUAAAUACAGGCUUUUAAAUCUUCAUUUUAUCAUCUCAUUCUUGUGCUUCAGAAAAUAUAGUUUUUUGUAUUGUUUGAGUUUUUUUUUACUAUUGCAUUUCCAUGAUUUC